rnacentral:rRNA from 1 species
AUUGAACGCUGGCGGCAUGCCUUACACAUGCAAGUCGAACGGUAACAGGUUAAGCUGUCGAGUGGCGAACGGGUGAGUAAUGUAUCGGACCGUGCCCAGUCGUGGGGGAUAACUGCUCGAAAGAGCAGCUAAUACCGCAUACGACCUGAGGGUUAAAGCGGGGGAUCGCAAGACCUCGCGCGAUUGGAGCGGCCGAUAUCAGAUUAGGUAGUUGGUGAGGUAAAGGCUCACCAAGCCGACGAUCUGUAGCUGGUCUGAGAGGACGACCAGCCACACUGGGACUGAGACACGGCCCAGACUCCUACGGGAGGCAGCAGUGGGGAAUUUUGGACAAAGGGCGCAAGCCUGAUCCAGCCAUGCCGCGUGCGGGAAGAAGGCCUUCGGGUUGUAAACCGCUUUUGUCAGGGAAGAAAAGGUUCUGGCUAAUACCUGGGACUCAUGACGGUACCUGAAGAAUAAGCACCGGCUAACUACGUG